rnacentral:rRNA from 1 species
CAACCCUUGUCUUUAGUUACCAUCAUUAAGUUGGGGACUCUAGAGAGACUGCCGGUGAUAAACCGGAGGAAGGUGGGGAUGACGUCAAAUCAUCAUGCCCCUUAUGGCCUGGGCUACAAACGUAAUACAAUGGCGUAUACAAAGGGAUGCGAAAGAGCGAUCUGGAGCAAAACUCAUAAAGUACGUCUCAGUUCGGAUUGAAGUCUGCAACUCGACUUCAUGAAGCUGGAAUCGCUAGUAAUCGCGGAUCAGCAUGCCGCGGUGAAUACGUUCUCGGGGUUU